GAGAGCUUCGGCAGGAUUUCCGGUAAUUCGAGUGGCGGACGGGUGAGUAACGCGUGAACAAUCUGUCCCAGACAGGGGGAUAACACUUGGAAACAGGUGCUAAUACCGCAUAAGACCACGGCAUCGCAUGGUGCAGGGGUAAAAGGAGCGAUCCGGUUUGGGGUGAGUUCGCGUCCGAUUAGAUAGUUGGUGAGGUAACGGCCCACCAAGUCGACGAUCGGUAGCCGACCUGAGAGGGUGAUCGGCCACAUUGGAACUGAGAGACGGUCCAAACUCCUACGGGAGGCAGCAGUGGGGAAUAUUGGGCAAUGGGCGCAAGCCUGACCCAGCAACGCCGCGUGAGUGAAGAAGGCCUUCGGGUUGUAAAGCUCUGUUAUAGUUGACGAAGGAAGUGACGGUAGGCUAUAAGGAAGCCCCGGCUAACUACGUGCCAGCAGCCGCGGUAAUACGUAGGGGGCGAGCGUUGUCCGGAAUGACUGGGCGUAAAGGGCGUGUAGGCGGCGUGAUAAGUCUGGAGUGAAAGUCCUGCUUUUAAGGUGGGAAUUGCUUUGGAUACUGUUAGGCUUGAGUGCGGAAGAGGUAAGUGGAAUUCCCAGUGUAGCGGUGAAAUGCGUAGAGAUUGGGAGGAACACCAGUGGCGAAGGCGACUUACUGGGCCGUAACUGACGCUGA
rnacentral:rRNA from 1 species